AAUGGCCAUUAAAGUGUUAGGAGACCCUCACCAAAAGGCGGAGGAUUUGCCAUGACUUUGUCAACAACAACAACUAAUUCCCCUGGACGAGACCAGAGUCACAGAGCUCUCAUGAGCAUGGAAUUAAGCACAAACAGAUAAGCUCCAAGGCUGCAAACUUUUAAAGACACGGACGCCAUCAGAGGAAUAUUGUAACUUAAGAAUGCUCUUACCCUGACUAGGAGUAUCCAUCCCAGACAACUGAUACAACACCAUGACGUGGCAAUGAGGAUGUUCAUGUACAACAAACUUGAGCAAAAUGCAAGCACUCCACAGUUGUAAUGUUCAAUUCCAGUGUUUGCGUGUGUAAAUACAUGUACUCAAAUGUAUUGUCUUUUGUAGUUACAUGCAUGACAACCUGUCAUUUGUAACCAAAAAAAUCAUACCUUUUAGCCAACAGACUUGCUUUAAAGUGUUAAAAACAGACUCUCUUUAAAACCUAUUUACCUCGAAAUGCCUUGAUAGAACUCAAUAAAAGAUUUGACAACUAAAUGACAAAAAAUAUUCAACAUUUAUACUCAUAUUCAUGUUGUUCCAUACCCAAAUGACUGACUUUCUUCUCUGGGAGGAACUCAAAAGGAGUUGUUAGGAAUAAUGAUAGGAACUGACAGCCUUGCUUUCAUUUCAGCCUCAUUAUCAGCAUCUACAUUUUACAAUGUAUUCUCAUAUUUCACAGAAGAAACAAAAUAAUACAGGUUUUAAAAAAUCAUGAGGGUGAGUAAAUGACAGAAUUUUCAUUUUUAAGUCAGUCAACCCAAAGACAGUGUUACGGUUUAUUUAAAUUUUGUA